UUUUUUUUUUGCUUUCUGUUUCCACUAGAGUAUGCUCUGCUGGCCUGAGGGGCUUAGUUCCAGAGAGAGAGAAAUGAUUACUCCAAGAGACACAACAAUGCUUCAAUUGAACUGGAUGUUAAGAAUUACAAUCAGUCAUUUUGAGCUCCUGAUGCCUCUGAAUCAACAAGGAAAGAAGAGAGUUUUGGUGUUGAUUGAGGACAUGACACAGCAAAAGGGCCCUCACCAGAUGCUGAGCAGACCCAAGCACCAUGCUCUUUUGGACUUCUCAGGCUCCAGAACCAUGAUCCAAAUAAACUUCUAUUGUUUAUUAUCAAA